rnacentral:rRNA from 1 species
UACGUAGGGGGCAAGCGUUGUCCGGAAUCAUUGGGCGUAAAGCGCGUGUAGGCGGCUCGAUAAGUCUGCUGUGAAAGUUCAGGGCUCAACCCUGAAAUGCCGGUGGAAACUGUCGAGCUAGAGUACGGAAGAGGUGAGUGGAAUUCCUGGUGUAGCGGUGAAAUGCGCAGAUAUCAGGAGGAACACCAGUGGCGAAGGCAGCUCACUGGGACGUUACUGACGCUGAGACGCGAAAGCUAGGGGAGCAAACAGG